UAGCUAACUAUUGGUUAUUUUUGAUAGAAUGUUAGCAGUUAGCUAACGUUAGCAUCUUACCUGUUGGACGGAUUUCUCUCCGUUUUCUUUUAGCCUGGUUUGUCCCUGCGUGGCCUGAAGUUCGUCACUGCUGUCUCUUCUGAGUAAAACCUAAAAUAUUUAGAGAAAAUAAGCAGCCGAUUGUGCUGAAAAUGAGCCGUAAAUGAGUAGACCAAGCUGGGCAAGACGACGUAAAUUGAGGCAGAUGUGGACCCUUUGAUUGAGAGCUGUGCUGGUCCCACUGACAAUUUGUUCUCUGAUCUGCCUUUAUACCCAGAGAUCGUGAUCUUCUUGAUUGACCUGGAGACAGCAGAGGCAGAGGCUACGUUCUGGUUCAGGUGGUCCUCAGCCGCCAUGUCCUCUGGAUUGUGCUUGACCGGGGCUACCUGCUUGACGAUGGGUGAGACAAGACAGGGGCUGUGUGUGCAGACCUGGGAUUGACUGAGGUAGAGAGAGUUCAGGUUGUGCUGCAGAGUGCAGUUAUCCAGACUCUGGCUCUGCAGAUAACUCUGUGUAAACUCCUGGCAUUUUGGCACAGCCGGGGCCGACAACCUCGUCCCAAUGGUGAAGGGCUGGACCUUCCUCACAAUGCUCUCAGACAUUGCCAGUGUCCAGAUAAAAAAACAAAAUAUGUUGAAGUCCAAAUGGGCAUUAAAAAAGUCUGUCACAUCUCUUUGUACGCUCUUCUCACUCACCAGUUCUGUUUGCCCAGUCUCUGUUAAGCAAGCAAGUGGAGGGUUGAACAGAAAGUGGAGGGAGCCCUCAGUUCUCUACCUUCUUGUGCAUAUUGAGAAUGCACAGCACACAGCCCAGCACGGCUUCCUUGGACUCCUGGGAUCGAAUGCGGUCCCAGACGUGGCGCAGCGCUGUGCCAAGGUGGGCAGCGCCUGUAGAGAGGCUUCUCCUGAUGAACUGUGCCACUGAGCCUGCCAGUCUGCUACCGAGGAGCCUGAUAACCAGGGACCGCAGCAAGAUGAAAACUGCUGGCAUGCUGCCUUACUGUGCUGUGCGAAAAAAAAAAAAAAGGUCAAAAAAAGGAGGGGAAAAGAGGAGGGUUGGUUAAGAGAGGGAAUGAAGUCACCACCUCUCCACACAUACAAACUCUCUCUCUCUUUCUCUCUGUCAGGAGCGACAGAGUGGAGAGGGGGCUGUAAAGCCUGGCUGUCAAAACUUCCCCUCUGAACCCGAACAGAAAAUCUGUCCAGAUAAGAGGCGAGUAAUGGAGUCAGAGGCAGAGACCUUUGUCAGACCUCUUCAAUCACAGCUUAUCCUCUAUGAGGUAAUAUCCUCAGUUGAAACAAACUCGCACACACCCACACUGCCUCUGCCUUACCUCCACCUUCAAGUGCAAAGGAACAGAUUCCGCCUUGAGGUGUUCUGCUCUGUUCCAGCACAAAGAAAUUACAAGACAAGACAAAAAGGUCCGUCACAGACAGCAGGCUUUUGAAAAAUCCAGGGUAAAAUCUAAGGAGAGAAGAAGCUUCAGAGGCUCAUGUGAGCGCUGUCUGUCCAGGAGUGAGAGUGCUUUCCUCAGCUCCAAGCUUUUCCCCAUCAGCAAGGAACAGCUGUCACAAAAGUUCCAUCUGAAUGGAACAGCCCUGUUGCUCUGCUCCUUAAACCUCGGAGCUGCUGGCCCGACAAGUGUGGGGGGCAAAUUACAGUCAAGAAGAUAAUGACCCCUACCACUCCUUGAUGGUGGCUACGGUUCAACAGAGCACAUGUUGGGCUGAAUGAUUGGAAUGGCAGGGGGUGGCGUACGUAUGUCAGGGCAGCAGGGAUUACUGAGGAGAGUAGACAGCAGAGAAAAUAUUUGGAGAGAGCAGAGCGGAGAAUUUGCUUCCACUGGUGAAAGCUUUCCCCAAAAAAGGAAUUCUCACUCUUCACUUAGCUGCCCUCUGACUUGACCCCAUCACCUGGUUGAAUGGUUCGCAGUAGCUGCUCAGCCACUUAAAACUAAA